CUGAAGAAUUAGGGGCAUUGAGGAAUGCAGGAUACCUCCAAAUUUUUAUAUUAAUAGGUACUGUCAUUUUUGUACUCCUCAAUACUAUAUUUAGAGAUGCUAAAAUAAAAAAAAUUGAGGAUAAAAUAGAAAAUAUUGAGGAUAAAGUAGAAAAUAUUGAGGAUAAAAUAGAAAAAAUUGAGAAUAAAAUGCAAGCCCAAUUAGAAGAUCUAAAAUGUUUCUUACAGGAUCAAUUGGCAAACAACCACUCUACCAGAAACAGACAUGUUUCUGAACCUUUGAAUAAGGAAAUUUCCUUCCCUGAAAUAGAGAUGGAAAACACCUUCCCUAUAGCCCAGUUAACAGACUGCUUCUCUCGUGCAGUGCAAAUCUUGACUGAAUUUAAUCCCCAAAACCCUUCCCCUGCAAUCCCAGUUUCUCAUGUUCCCUCUCCUACAGAAAACCAAAUUCCAACGCAAAGGAGAUCUUGUCCUCCUAGAGAAACCUGUCCUUGUCAAACUGACCCACAGGUACAAAAUUCAACUAGAGGUCUGUUUCCUCUAAGAGAAGUACCUGAAAUAGGACGGAAUGGGGAUGUGGUGACUUUAAGACAUAGGAUACCAUUUACUCCCCAAGAAAUAAAUGAAUUUACACGAAAUAUCCCCACAUAUGAACAAGAUCCUUUUCUAGUAACAAAAAAGAUGGGAGACAUAUUUUUUCAGUAUAAUCCGUCUUACAAGGACGUUGAGAACUUACUACAGGCUUUUUUAAGUGAACGUGAAAAAAAUAAAAUAAUUGCUCAUGUCAACAAAAUCCAGGGGCAUAAUGCAGCACAUUGGCCAUCUCAGGAUCCCGAAUGGUACUAUAACAAUCCUGAGGAUUAUCUACAACUAUACCAUUGUAGAGAGGCCAUCCUCACGGCAAUGAAGGAAUGUGCAGACAGUACAGAUAAGUGGAUGGAACUGGAAAAAAUUAAACAAAAGGAAGAAGAAUCACCCUCCAGAUUUAUGGAUAGAAUAAUCGAGUUUGGGGACAGAUACUUAAAUUGGGAUCUAACUAAAGAGAUUGGCUUAAGACAAGUUAGAAGGAUCUUUGUAAAUAACUCUUGCAAAGCAAUUAAGAAUUAUUUUAGAACACAAUGCCCAAGAUGGUCAGAUAUGGACCUUGAAGAAUUGCGAAAAACAGCUAUAUAUGUUUUAAAGGGAAACAAAGAAAAGGAGGAAGAAAAUAAUGAUGACAUGGAGGAAAUGAAGAAAAAAAUGAGAUAUUUAAUAGAUAGGAUAACUAAAUUAGAAAGUGGGCAUGAUAAUGAAUCAACGACAAUUGCCUCUCUCCAGAAAUCCAAUUAUCAAUCCAUUACUUGCCACUUCUGUGAGAAGAAGGGCCACAAAAUGAGGGAAUGUAGAACCUUUCUUAAGAAAGUCAAACUCUCUUUUAUAAGGACUACAUUUACAUCAAAUUAUAUAUAUUAAUAUGUGGGGAA
ensembl:lncRNA